rnacentral:rRNA from 1 species
UGCCUACGGGAGGCAGCAGUGGGGAAUAUUGGGCAAUGGGCGCAAGCCUGACCCAGCAACGCCGCGUGAAGGAAGAAGGCUUUCGGGUUGUAAACUUCUUUUCUCAGGGACGAAGCAAGUGACGGUACCUGAGGAAUAAGCCACGGCUAACUACGUGCCAGCAGCCGCGGUAAUACGUAGGUGGCAAGCGUUAUCCGGAUUUACUGGGUGUAAAGGGCGUGUAGGCGGGGCUGCAAGUCAGCUGUGGAAACCACGGGCUCAACCUGUGGACUGCAUUUGAAAAUGUAGUUCUUGA